AAGCUGUCCAAGGCUUUGACACAGCACACCCAAAAAUAUCGAAAGUAUACUUUUACAGGUGUUUCAUUACUCCUUCUGGAACCAAAACAUUCAGAACAUGGAAAAUCAAGACCCUGCUGUUGUUGAUGCAAUAAAGGCAUCGGGCGAGUCCACUCUGGAAAAGGCUACAGCAAAAGCUAAAAUGAAAAUGGACCAGUUUUUUAAUAUCUCACUUAACGUCGCUGUGACUGGAAAC